rnacentral:lncRNA from 1 species
UUUUGUCCAGUUCCUUGUUCAAAAUGCCAAGAACCUGGAUGACUCAUAGUCAAGACCCUCCACCAGUAACAUAUAUUGGCGAGCCAGCCAGGAGGUAAGCCCAAAGUUUGGGAUUUAUUUCUCUUCUCUUGCUUUCCCUUUUCCUCUCUGCUCCUUACAGGGGAACUCUUUUCUCUCUCUUUUUCCCUUUCCAGCUUGGAACCCUCGGUGGACAGUGCCUAAGCACAGAGGCAAACACAGGUUUCUAACAGGGCCACUCUCCGGUGAAACUGAAAGGUUUCUGUGUGAAAGUGCCUGACCACCACUGCCCAGUUCAGACCACUACAGGAAACACUCCAUUUAUUCAACCUGACUUCCCACUUGGCUGCAUCCUCAACCGUUGAAAUGAAUUUGACCCUGAUAAUCUAAGGAGGAAACAUUUGAUAUUCUUUUGCAAUAAUACUUGGCCCCGGUAUUGUUUGGAAUCUGGAGUUUGCUGUUGAAUGGGAAAGCGGGAUGAUGUUGCAUGUAUCCAGGCCUUGGUGCUGCUGUCCUAAGAAGGGUCAGGCCUGGUCAGCAUAUGGUGCUCUCCUUUGGUGCUAUUUGGCUCGUGUCUUCAGAGUCUGAGGAGGUUUGGCCUUUAAAAAUCAAACUGCCACCGAAACUGCUUUAAAAAUUUUUGGUUCACGGCCUUCACUGGAUUACCUACUGGAGCAAACAAAGUGUAACCAUGUAAAACCUGUGAGCUUGUAUUGAUAUCUCAUGGCUAGAGUUCCAAGGUAAAAGCUAUUUGAUCUUCAUUUGUGUGUGUGUAUACAUGUCUAGAUGUGUUUAUUUGUAUGUACACUUAUUGUUAUAUGUUGU